AUGGCGGCGGAGGGGGAGGACAAGAAGGAUGCUAAUUCCGUUGGAGGCGGCGGCGGCGAGAACACCCUGGAGUCGGCGGAGGAGGCGAUUCUGCAGGCGGUAGGGCAAGAGCCCGGUCAAGAAUUGGAGGGCGAGGCGGAGGAGAGCGCAGAUCGAGAGGGGAACGGCGACGACGCUGGGAAGGAAGAUAGUGGGUGUAAAGAUCUGGUCCUGGUAGAGGACCCUGUCCUGGUCGAGGAUCCAGAGGAAGCGGUAGCAACUGCAGCAUUUCAGGAAGAAAUGAGAGCGCUUUUGGCGUCUGUCCCUGAAGGUGCCGGGGCAUCAUUUACUGCGAUGCAGCUGCAGGAGCUAGAGCAGCAGUCUCGGGUAUACCAGUAUAUGGCUGCCCGUGUGCCUGUGCCUACCCAUCUCGUCUUCCCCAUCUGGAAGAGUGUUACCGGUGCAUCCUCUGAAGGCGCGCAGAAUUACCCUACAUUGAUGGGAUUGGCAACACUCUGCUUGGACUUUGGGAAGAGCCCAGAACCAGAACCAGGAAGGUGCCGGCGAACAGAUGGAAAAAAGUGGCGGUGCUGGAGAAAAACAAUCCCAAACGAGAAAUAUUGUGAACGCCAUAUGCACCGUGGUCGCAAGCGUCCUGUACAGGUUAUUGUUGAGGAUGACGAGCCUGAUUCCGCAUCAGGGUCAAAAUCAUCAUCUGGCAAAGUCACUGAAGGAGGCAAGAAGACUGACGACAAGAGUUCAAGUAGCAAGAAGCUUGCAGUGGCAGCACCAGCUGCUGUGGAGUUUACAUGA
rnacentral:rRNA from 1 species